ACGGAUGUGGCUCAAUUGGAAGAGCAGCGGUCUCCAAAACCGCCGAUUGCAGGUUCGAGUCCUGUCAUCCGUGCCA
rnacentral:tRNA from 1 species